rnacentral:rRNA from 1 species
AACGAACGCUGGCGGCGUGCCUAACACAUGCAAGUCGAGCGCGAAUGGAGCAAUCCUAGUAGAGCGGCGCACGGGUGCGUAACACGUGGGUAAUCUGCCUGGGAGAUCGGGAUAACCUGCCGAAAGGCAAGCUAAUACCGGAUAAGCCCACGGGGUCCUCGGACCUCGUGGGAAAAAAUGGCCUCUGUAUACAAGCUAUCACUCCCAGAUGAGCCCGCGGCCCAUCAGCUAGUUGGCGGGGUAAUGGCCCACCAAGGCAACGACGGGUAGCUGGUCU